rnacentral:rRNA from 1 species
UACAGAGGGUGCGAGCGUUAAUCGGAAUUACUGGGCGUAAAGCGCGCGUAGGCGGCUUUGCAAGUCGGGUGUGAAAUCCCCAGGCUUAACCUGGGAACUGCAUUCGAGACUGCAUUGCUAGAGUAUGGGAGAGGGAAGUGGAAUUUCCGGUGUAGUGGUGAAAUGCGUAGAUAUCGGGAGGAACACCAGUGGCGAAGGCGACUUCCUGGCCUGUUCUUGACGCUGAGGCGCGAAAGCUAGGGGAGCAAACGGG